GAUGAACGCUGGCGGCGUGCCUAAUACAUGCAAGUCGAGCGAACGGACGAGAAGCUUGCUUCUCUGAUGUUAGCGGCGGACGGGUGAGUAACACGUGGAUAACCUACCUAUAAGACUGGGAUAACUUCGGGAAACCGGAGCUAAUACCGGAUAAUAUUUUGAACCGCAUGGUUCAAAAGUGAAAGACGGUCUUGCUGUCACUUAUAGAUGGAUCCGCGCUGCAUUAGCUAGUUGGUAAGGUAACGGCUUACCAAGGCAACGAUGCAUAGCCGACCUGAGAGGGUGAUCGGCCACACUGGAACUGAGACACGGUCCAGACUCCUACGGGAGGCAGCAGUAGGGAAUCUUCCGCAAUGGGCGAAAGCCUGACGGAGCAACGCCGCGUGAGUGAUGAAGGUCUUCGGAUCGUAAAACUCUGUUAUUAGGGAAGAACAUAUGUGUAAGUAACUGUGCACAUCUUGACGGUACCUAAUCAGAAGGCCACGGCUAGCUACGUG
rnacentral:rRNA from 1 species